GAUGUUGCAUGGUAGGCUGAGACUGGUUCUGGCCCUGGUGCUGGGUGGAAGGCUUGCCCUGUUGCUGCAUAGGGCCCUUUCCCUUGUUCUUUGAAGGAGAAUGUUAACAACAAAGGUUUCAAAUUCUUUUGGCAACGACGCAAAAACCAAAUGAACAAGGAAAGCAUCAGUGAUGGUGAGAUCCUUGAACUUUUUGAUUUUAGAUGCCAAGUGACUCAUUCUAAGGAUGUGCUCUCUAAUACCAGUGCCACCACCAGUAUAUUUCUGUGAGAUCAGUUCUUUGAUCAUUUCUGUUGCAUACGUUUUUGUAGAGCCAGUAAACUGCCUCUUUAUAGUAUCUAGGUAAUCUUUAACGCUGUCUACUACUGGAAUGGAAUCUGAUAUGUGAGACUCCAUCGUGUUCUGUACAAGCGUUUUACAUUUCUUGUUUGCUGAUUCCCACUUUUUCUUUUCAAGGUCAUAAGACAUCUGGAUGGGAGCAAACUCUCUUUCUCUUUUCUGCCAUGCAUCAUCUGUCUCAUCUGUUGCCCGCACAGGUGGCACGGGCUGGACGGGACGCUCUGUGUCAAGGACCCAGUCCACCUCAGCAAAGGUGAAGGCCAUGUCGAUCUUUUUCCUCCACUCAACGUAGUUGUCCCCUUUGAGUGGUGGAAUGGUGUUGAUGAACGUCAUCAACGAGUAAGCUCCUGAAACACAAACCUCUGGGUGAGAACAUGAAUAAUCACAAUUGUAUGCCUUAGUAUCAACGUUGGUCAAAAUUAAAACAUACAACUGUUUAUGCAAUAAAACUAUAUCACCGUUGGGCAGAAAUAGAAUUAAUGCAUAAUAAUCUUUUAAUUA